UGAAACUUAAGAUUGAAUAUUGUUUUAUAUGUUUGGCAUUUCUUCUUUUAUAAGCAGGCUACAUGUAUCUUUUCCCAUUUUUAUGGGGCUCUUUACUUCCUUUUAUUGAUUUGUAGGAGCUCUGUGUAUAGUAAAGGUAUUAAUUCGGUCCAUCAUAUCAUUUGCAAAUAAUUUUUCUCCAGUUCUUUAUUUCUGCGUAAAUGUCAUUUGUGAUCUUUUGCCAUAGGAAAUUUAAAAUUAUAUAUUGUAUCAAGAUAAUCUUUGGGUAAGAAAAUUCCUCGUUCCAAGAUUAUGAAAGUAUUCAUCUGUGUUUUCACCGAGUACAUUUCUGGCUUUGUUUGAUGCAUCUGUAUGUCGAUAAUAAGGAAUCAGGGAUGUCUUGGUGGUGGAUUAGGAGGUCUGUUUGGCCUUAAGUCUCAACCGCAGG
rnacentral:lncRNA from 1 species